GACGAACGCUGGCGGCGUGCUUAACACAUGCAAGUCGAACGGAAAGGCCCUGCUUUUGUGGGGUGCUCGAGUGGCGAACGGGUGAGUAACACGUGAGUAACCUGCCCUUGACUUUGGGAUAACUUCAGGAAACUGGGGCUAAUACCGGAUAGGAGCUCCUGCUGCAUGGUGGGGGUUGGAAAGUUUCGGCGGUUGGGGAUGGACUCGCGGCUUAUCAGCUUGUUGGUGGGGUAGUGGCUUACCAAGGCUUUGACGGGUAGCCGGCCUGAGAGGGGGACCGGCCACAUUGGGACUGAGAUACGGCCCAGACUCCUACGGGAGGCAGCGGUGGGGAAUAUGGCACAAUGGGCGGAAGCCUGAUGCAGCAACGCCGCGUGCGGGAUGACGGCCUUCGGGUUGUAAACCGCUUUCGCCUGUGACGAAGCGUGAGUGACGGUAAUGGGUAAAGAAGCACCGGCUAACUACGUG
rnacentral:rRNA from 1 species